CUUCGAUAGAAUUUAAAUAAUCUUUUCUUUUAGUAAGACAUGGUAUAUAAGGAAGACUUUUUUGUGAAGCAUUUCUAUGCGCUGACAACACUGGCAAUUCUAUUUGCUACGAUUCUGUUGUUGCUGCCGAACCUACGCAAUAAAAUACAAAUGAAGCUGGGCACAAUUCACAACAAGUUGAUUAACUAUACGCCAGUUAACUAUACAGAUUAUUUGUCGCCCGUCUCAAGGCGGAGAUUAAAGCUAGUAAGCCGCAAAACUCUGGUACUCGAUAUGGACGACACAUUGAUCAAGUCGCAUUUCCAUUACCAAAGAGAACCCUGGAGAAAUAGGACGCGCAAGAAUAAGUCUAUCAAGCCCGAUUUUAGUUUCUAUAUACGGAACAAAGAUGUCUUCGUCUCAGUGUUUAAGCGACCGCAUUUGGAUUACUUUCUGGACUGUGUUUCCAAGUGGUACAAUGUGAUGAUCUUCACCGCGGCCACCGAGAUUUAUGCAUCCGAAGUGCUCGAUCGCUUAGAGAGCAAUCGCAAGAUAUUCCAGCGACGUUUCUAUCGACAACAUUGCAUCGAAAUCAGCGGGAUUCUAGCCAAACUUGUGUCGGUGUGCGAUGAUGAUCCUGCCAAUGUUUUGCUGCUAGACGAUUGCCACUUGGCCAAUCAAUUCAAUGCGGGCAAUGCGGUGCAGAUAAAACGAUAUAAAAUCGGAACCCGGGAUGAGGAACUACUCGCCAUGCUGCCCUUGCUCGAUGCGCUGCGUUUUACGUCCGAUGUUCGCUCGGUGCUGGGACGAGUCACCAAGAGGUGUGACUGUCUAACAACAGCCUUGGCCUCGAUGACCCCCCGAGCAUUACAUCGCCAGAGAUAUAGAGGACGUAACUGCGACUGGCCCAUUGAGUGUUGAGUCAUGGUGUUGGCUUAGUCACGUCCAAGUGGGCAAGUGAAUCAGCGCCUAGUUGCUUUAUCAGCGACUAGAGUGUUGCUGCUGUUUUAUCAGAGGUGGUCAAAAAUGUGGCUGAAACUGAAAACCCGGCUGUGUGAAAUGUGUAUUUCUCUUGCUAAGCUACUUUGGGUGCGGCAAUUAAGUCACCACAAACAGCAGCGGCGGUGGCGGGAGGUGGAGCGGCACCAUUUCCAGUGAAGAUCAUUAUUGUCUCGCCGCGGAUGUUGUGAAUGCUGCAGCAGCCAAAAAAGAAAAAAAAACAAAAACAACAACAGAAAAGAGCUAAAGAGCCGCAGAAACAAGUUAAUGAACCCGUUGCCCGCGUCGCGGAUCCUUGAACUCCCAGCGAGUUGUCCAACUAGUUUGGGACGCGUCUGCAGUCGGAGGCAGAAGCCAGAAGCAGAACGAGGGAGAACCAGAACCAAAUCUGUGGCAUGAAUUCUGUGGAAAUGAUCGAAAUUUCAUUUCAAGCUCCACACACAAAAUUGAGUUCAACAGCAUUCCGGUUGCCGGUUGCCAAGUCUCCCGGUCUUCAGUCUACAGUCUGCUGUUGCUCCUCCUCCUCCUCUGACCAGCCCCCACACCGUCUGCUGGUCUGUGAUCAAGUUGGGACCGAGGCUUAGAAGAGAGCUUGCCUUCUGCUGCUGUGGCUGCUGCUGCUGUUCUGUUUUGCUCGCUGCUUUGUUGGGUUAACUUUCCAUUAUCCUUGAGGCUCAAGUCAAUGCCCUCGUCUCGCAUUACACAAUUGCAGGCGGGCGGCAGUGGCAGCAACAGCAGGAACUGCGUGUGCAUCUCGAGUUCGCCGCUGGCCGCUUAUUCCCUCCUCUCCACCUCGUUGCCCCUUUUUACUGUGGUUCGCUCAAGUUACACAGAACUCCAGUGGCCUACUUCCACUUGAAUGGAACAAAUGGGAAUAUGGGAAUGGGAUGCGUUGCGUUUACGUUGUGGGCAUGGGCAUGGGAAUGGGAAAUGGAAUGGGAUGGGAAUGGCCCGCCCGUCCGCUUGGAACAAAAGCUUUUGUCAGGCAACCCCAACCCAUCAACAAUCAGCAAAAGCGAUCCUGUGGCCAGCGCGACAAAGACAAAGAAACUCAUUUUGUCGCAUGCAAAAAUUAAUACAAAACAAAUGCGAACGAGAGAGCGAACACACACAUACAUACAUACAAUUGCAAAACACACUCUCGCACUCUCACACCAACACAAGCGCAUAUAAUUUUAUUUUUAUAACUGACCUCGAACUUUUGUGCAAUGUGAUUGAACUGCGGCUUUCUGCUUCAGCUUCUGCUGCUGUUGCUGCUGCGAUAUCUGUGAGCUUGAGCCACGUUCCCCACUCCCCGAUCGCUGCCCUUUCCCCGCAAACAUUUGCAUGCAGACUGCAUGCGAAACUGUCGGAAAGUGGCAGCGAUAAUGUCGCCGCUGAGCUUGGGAUCAGAAUCGACAUCAGAAUCGGAAUCGGGAUCUGGAUGCGUUGACAAACAAUAUGGAAAUUUCGCACUGCCAGAGGGGGAGAGUUCCAGAAGUCCAAAUGGUAAUCAUCAUCGCGAUGAUGAUGAUGAUGAUGACGUCGAGUGCAGCAACGACAACGUUAAAUGCAUAAUAAAUGCGGUUUUCAAGUAGUUUGGAAAAAUAAAAUGCGUGCGGCGACUCAAAUGCACUUUCAAUGAGCUAAAACAAAAAAAAAAAAUUUAAUUUAAGCAAAACAGCAACUGCAACGCGUAGAUCAGAACACGUGCCGCAUUUUAAGAGGCAACAAACAAGCGCCAGGAAACAAAACAAACCCAGGAAGAACGUGACCAAAGCAACUGCAACACCGUGUAUUUGUGUUUUUGCGCAAAACCCAGGGAAGAAAAUCGGAAAACACAACGAGCAAAAAGUUAUUAAUGUAUUGUUGGAGCAGCGUCAGCGUCGCCAGUAUUUUACGCAACUUCUAGGGUCUCGUUGUUUGUAUCUCACACAAUAUUUAGUCACCUCAAGUGUGUCAGCAGCAAGCAGCUAAUUGCGGUGCUCUGAAUAACAAAUUCCAGAUAAAGAUACUUGAAGCGUAUAACUGAUAACCACCAGCCCCUGGAACACCCCGCCCCAAAAAGCAGCAACAUCAGUUAGUCAGGGAGCCAGCAC